AGACCGAUAGCGAACAAGUAGAGUGAUCGAAGGAUGAAAAGCACCUUGAAAAGGGGGUUAAACAGUACGUUGAAAUUGUUGAAAGGGAAGGGCUCGUGACCAGACUUGUGCCAGGCGGCUCAUCCGGCGUUCUCGCCGGUGCACUCCGCCUGGCUCAGGCCAGCAUCGGUUCUCGCCGGGGGAUAAGAGCUUCGGGAACGUGGCCCCCUUCGGGGGGUGUUAUAGCCCGUCGCACGAUGCCCUGGCGGGGACCGAGGUUCGCGCUCCGCAAGGAUGCUGGCGUAAUGGUCACCAACCACCCGUCUUGAAACACGGACCAAG
rnacentral:rRNA from 1 species